GCCGCCGGCUCGGGGCGCAUGCGCGCUUCCUUCCAUUCGCCUGGAGCAGGUGAAGACCGAUGGCGCUUCCCGGCCACCCGGAAGUCGGGAAGGUCUCUUCGGGUGGUUUGCAGCGUCGGUCUGUGUCCACGGGCCUUUCCUGGAGGGUAGUGCAACUGGUUUGAAACACACAAGACCUCGCAGUGUUUUGACAGCCACAAAAUCUUGAGAUCUGCAUUUUGUCAGAUGAUGGAAAUUAAUUUUUAAAUGCUACAGAACUG